UUCUUGAUAUUUUCACUCUCUCUUAUCCGCAACACAUAGCCGUGAAAUUAGGCGUAUCGACAUGAGCACUGUAUGCAACCCUUCGGCGAGCCUAUUACCCAUUCAAAGCCCCUGCUCCUCUUCCACUGCCUCUAUUUGCCAUUGGGCUCCGCGUUUAAGGAGGAAGGGGCAUUUGAGAAGAAAGGCGACGGUAUUCUGCUCGGCAGAUGAAGUGGAUUUCAAGGUGCUCACUUCUGUCACAAGUAGUUAUAAUAACAUAGUUAUUCUGGACACUCCCGACUCACGUGUGCUGCUUCUCGACUCUUCCAAUAAUGUGCAUAGCAUUCUUCACAAGGGAAAGAAGUGGACUGAUGCAUAUUGGGAUGAGUUUGCCACCUUGCCGGCCAUUGUUCCAAGGGGUCCCAUCGCUAUUUUUGGCCUGGGGGGCGCAACUGCUGCACAUUUGAUGCUUGAGCUAUGGCCUUCUUUGCAGCUUGUUGGAUGGGAGAUAGAUGAAAUCUUGAUUGAAAAAGCAAGAGAAUAUCUUGGGCUCUCUGAUCUGGAGAAACAUACUGAAGGUGGUGGUGUAUUGGAAGUUCGUAUUGGAGAUGUAUUUUCUCCAUCUGUUACUAUUCCUGGAGGUUAUGCAGGUAUAAUAGUUGAUUUGUUUUCUGAUGGAAAGGUUUUGCCCCAACUGCAAGAGGUCACAACUUGGUUGGAGAUGAAUAAGGUGUUGAUGCCCAAUGGUCGGCUCAUGGUGAAUUGUGGUGCUGCUACCAAAGAAUGGUCUAAUACUUCUUCUGAAAUGAUCCAACCAGAAAUUUCCGAAAAGGAUGAUCCUAGGGAACUAAACGCAACUAUCAACGCAUUAUGCAAGGCAUUUCCUGGGCAGGUAAGCUGGAAAAAGUUGCCAAAGAGAGCAGGAGAAAAUUUUCUUGCGCUGACAGGACCAUUACCAGAUUUGGCUAUUUGGUCUGCUCGUUUCCCGGAUCAAUUAAGCUCAAGUGUCAAAGAAUGGAGAAGUUGCAUGGCUUCGUGAUUUUUGAGAAUGGAACUUGAUUAAGCUGUCCUUCGUGCCAAUAGAAAAGGUCCUUUGCAGCCCCCCGCCCCAUUCCCAAUUUUUAGCUAGAUUCCAAAUUUCCAGUAGGUGGGCUGUUUUAACAAAUACUAUAUGUCUUCCCGUAUAGGAGAUCUUCCUUUCCAGGUUUUUAUUUUCGUGUAAGUGAUUGUUUUAUCAGAAGGAAAGCAAAGGGAUGCAACCUGUAUAUAUUGGCCCACAGGCAACCAUCAGACACUGCCUAGUCACCCUUAAUCCCUCUGAUUCCAUACCAGUACCUUGGGGGCUAAAAGAUGGCAUCUUAUUUUAAGGAGGAGGAUGAAACAGAAGCAAGUCCAUGUGAGGCACUAUUUUAGCUAGGGAAGGAAAUGGUGUUGCAGAUGCUUUGGCCAAUUUGGAGGAAAUUUGCAAGUCCCACUUGCAACUAAACUGUAUUAUACAGUCCAGAACCUUCCUAGAGAAGAUAAUGGUCCCCUCAUGAUGGAUAAGUUGCAGCUCCCUACAUUUUGAACUAGGCAGGUCAAGGAAAGGGUUGUACAUAAUUUAUUGUAAGUUGAUCAUAUUACAUCUGUAGUAUUUUGGAGAAAUCCUACUUAUGCAUAUUUUGGUCUUCAAGUGUACGUGGCCCUUGAUAGGAGGAUGUGGAGGUCGAGAAUUAGGGUAGAAAGUUAGCAGGUAGUUUGAGCGUAUUUCUGUUCUGUACCGGAGUACUAGGGUUAGUCUGGUAGUGUCUUGUUCUUAGAUUGCUCGUAUUACAUAUGAUGUUGUCCUACUAUCUUCUGCUUCGGUUUCCUAGUAUCUUGUUGUUAUCACUGCUUGUUGCUAUUGAUUCCUUCCAUCUA